ACCAACGACCAGCAUGACCGGGCACCUGCAAGAAUGAGAUUUCAGAAUUCAGUCUUAUUACACACUAUACACACUCAUAU